rnacentral:rRNA from 1 species
UGGGGAAUAUUGCACAAUGGGCGAAAGCCUGAUGCAGCAACGCCGCGUGAGUGAUGAAGGCCUUCGGGUUGUAAAGCUCUGUCUUUUGGGACGAUAAUGACGGUACCAAAGGAGGAAGCCACGGCUAACUACGUGCCAGCAGCCGCGGUAAUACGUAGGUGGCAAGCGUUGUCCGGAUUUACUGGGCGUAAAGGAUGCGUAGGCGGAUUUUUAAGUGAGAUGUGAAAUACCCGGGCUUAACUUGGGUGCUGCAUUUCAAACUGGGAAUCUAGAGUGCGGGAGAGGAGAAUGGAAUUCCUAGUGUAGCGGUGAAAUGCGUAGAGAUUAGGAAGAACACCAGUGGCGAAGGCGAUUCUCUGGACCGUAACUGACGCUGAGGCAUGAAAGCGUGGGUAGCAAACAGGAUUAGAUACCCUGGUAGUCCACGCCGUAAACGAUGAGUACUAGGUGUAGGAGGUAUCGACCCCUUCUGUGCCGCAGUUAACACAAUAAGUACUCCGCCUGGGAAGUACGAUCGCAAGAUUAAAAGCUUAAAUGAAUUGACGGGGGUCAUAGCUGUUUCCU